rnacentral:rRNA from 1 species
GAUGAACGCUGGCGGCGUGCCUAAUACAUGCAAGUCGAGCGAACAGACGAGGAGCUUGCUCCUCUGACGUUAGCGGCGGACGGGUGAGUAACACGUGGAUAACCUACCUAUAAGACUGGGAUAACUUCGGGAAACCGGAGCUAAUACCGGAUAAUAUAUUGAACCGCAUGGUUCAAUAGUGAAAGACGGUUUUGAUGUCACGUAUAGAUGGAUCCGCGCCGCAUUAGCUAGUUGGUAAGGUAACGGCUUACCAAGGCGACGAUGCGUAGCCGACCUGAGAGGGUGAUCGGCCACACUGGAACUGAGACACGGUCCAGACUCCUACGGGAGGCAGCAGUAGGGAAUCUUCCGCAAUGGGCGAAAGCCUGACGGAGCAACGCCGCGUGAGUGAUGAAGGUCUUCGGAUCGUAAAACUCUGUUAUUAGGGAAGAACAAAUGUGUAAGUAACUAUGCACGUCUUGACGGUACCUAAUCAGAAAGCCACGGCUAACUACGUG